rnacentral:rRNA from 1 species
UAUGGUGCAAGCGUUAUCCGGAUUUACUGGGUGUAAAGGGAGCGUAGACGGCUAGGCAAGUCUGAUGUGAAAAUCCGGGGCUCAACCCCGGAACUGCAUUGGAAACUGUUAAGCUAGAGUGUCGGAGAGGUAAGUGGAAUUCCUAGUGUAGCGGUGAAAUGCGUAGAUAUUAGGAGGAACACCAGUGGCGAAGGCGGCUUACUGGACGAUGACUGACGUUGAGGCUCGAAAGCGUGGGGAGC